CGUAUUGCAUUAUAAAGGGAAAACGAAUCGUUUGUUCAAAACCCCUUUGGUCUGAACCAAGGCGGAUUUUAAAAGGUGGUCUCACGCAAACAGCCGGCCAGGUUUGACGGUAUUAACAUGUCAGAUUUUUGUUUGUAUUUUCUUUGUUAUUAUCUUCCUUCUCCCGAAUUCUCUGCUCAUGUACGCACACGUACACCUUCAAAUUUCUUUGUUUGUUUUGGCAAAACUUCGAUCAGCUUGAUGGCAAGAUGGCAGAUUGCACCAUAUGAUUUGUGGUUGUUGUACAAAUGAGACCAUGACAUAACUACCAGGUAGUGUACCGUAAACAGCUCAGUACAAUUUUUUCUCGCGAAGUGCACUAUCUGUCAACGAGUUUUAGUUGUGUGUGUGUGUAUUAUAGUUAAGAACCAUAGCACACACAAACACCAAAAAUGGCGCGAACUAGUAACAUACAUGAAAUCAGGGUUGCACUAAUCACUGAUUUUGAAAAAUAGUGCACUCAACAUUUUGUUGUUGGGCAACUGCCACUACCUGUAAAUGAAUAUAUCUUGAAUGCGACCAAAUUUUGACAGUUGGAGAAUAGAAAAUCUGCAAAUUUCUACUGCGACUUUUUUUGCCAGCAGAUAUUUGUUUUGUGUAAAGCAGCCGUUACAUGGAAAUACAAAAGCUAACGCCAAAAUUUGUCAAAGAGGUAAGUAAAAAAUAAAAAUAUUGUUUAUUGGUAAUUAUUAAAUUUGUUUAACUUUUAUUUACGUUUAAAGAAGUUUCAUGGCAGCAGCUAGCUAUAGAAAACUCAACAAAUAAAGUUUUAAUUUUACCUCAAGUCGGUUGUUCUAUAUUAGAAGACAUCAAGAAAAAAGCAACUAUAAGUUUCUUAAGUGUUUUGAAGGAAUCAUCCUCAUCGGAAAGCUACGCUGAACCCAACACCGUUUCUUUGAAUUUGUUAAGGAGGGAAGAUUGAAUCGGUCUAGCUGGACAGUUAAACAAUUGGCGCACAGUGGGACUAGAAAAAAUUAGUCUUCAUAUAUAUAUUUCACAAUAAUUCUAUUACUAAUUUGUAUAAAUUUUCCUUUUCUGUUUUUCUUCCUCAUCCUCUAUGGGAACCAGGUGCUGCUUUCAGGUAAAAGCAUGGCGUGCUGUGCCGGGCUGUAUCAUUGUCAGUGCCCAUGAUGAAUGUUCAUGGAAUUCAGCAUACAGGUUCAAGGCCAGAAGUAUUAUAGAUGAUUUUCCGUUCGAAGAUUUCCAUCUCUUUGGCUACUGAUGGGGAAACAGUAAACCAUAUUUGAAAUCCGUAUGAUAGCAUAGGUCUGAUGGCCAUUUUGUAUAGCAACAACUUUGUGGGUUGGGUGUUGACCGGGCAUGUGUAUUAAACUUCAGUAAUGCCUGGGCAUUUGAUUUUGGAUUCCACUGGGACUCCAUCAAAGGUGUUGCAGGACUUUAUCGCGGGCGAUUUGCAUAUAGAAUUGGCUAUGAGUUAUGUGUCGUAUGAGGAAAAUCAUGCAGGAAAAAAUUAAAAAGAUGUGGAGCUAACACACUUUCUUGCAGUACUCCACUAUUAACAGGUCCUAUAUCAGAAGAGAUAUUUUGGAUCUCAACACAAAAUCUUCGAAUUGAAAAGAAACUGUGUAUUGUUUUAACCAGGUAAGGAUCCAACUCAAGGUCAAUAAGUUUGUAUAAAAUGCCUUGGUGAUUUACAGAAUCAAAAGCUUUUUCAAUGUCAAGGGAAAUAGCAAUUGUACAUGUUUGGUUUCACAGGUUAGUAACAAUAUCAUUGUGAAAUUUCAACAACACAAGCAUGUUGUGUUGAAUGCGCUUUUCUAAAGCCAAAUUGAAAAUCGGAUAUUGGCUCAAUCACAAAACUGUUUUAAAUUUUUUCCUUAAUGAUUGUUCAAACAAUUUCCCGACAUUGGACAGAAGAGAAAUCGGACGAUAUUCAGCUGGAGUCAUGGAAUGAGUUUUCUUUUUGAUAGCGAUUAUUUUUGCCACUUUCCAAUCUAUGGGAAAGUAUCCAUUGUUCAAGCAAUUGUUGAAAAUGCAGGAGAGUAAAUUUAAUGUGGAGUAGGGGAAUCUCUUUAUUAGAAAAUUUGAAAUUCCAUCGAGGCCGCUCGAUUUUUUAUUAUUCGUAGAUUUAAUAAUGCUUUUGAUUUUUGCAGUAUCGGUGAAAUGGAAGUUAUCUUGAUUUUGAAGGGCGUUAAAUUCGUCAUCAAAUGUAAAAAUGUGACGGGGGAUGGCAAUUCAAUACCCUAGAAUUGAAAUCUUCAACUGGACGUGGGGGUAAUCUUCUACUGAAUGUGUUCGAGUUAAACUCGCGGAACUGUUGGGCUAUAUCGGAACUAUUGAGUAUGUUAUUAUCAUGGACAAUUUGCUGACAAAAAGGUGAUUUAGAUUUCCCUGUGAUUUGGUAAAUCUUUUUAAAAGCGGAUGGACCAGGUUUAAUAGUUUGUAAUUUUUUGUCGAAUUUUUCUGCUUGUUCUAUGUUGACAGUUUCCUUUAUUAUUAUUUUUACCAGUUGUAUCUGAUAAGAAAGAAGUUUGUACUCACUACUUGUUCUAUUUCCAGAACGAUGAAAUAUCAUUUUUAUUCUUUCUGCUAAAGAUGUUUAAUUUUGUAGAGCUUUUUAGCCUUUUCGGAAAGAGGAAAUUUGUUGUUAUGGAUUUGAACCUGCUUUGUGUGACGAUUAUGUAUACCUUUAAAUGAAGAGUUGAAAUCAUCAAUUAAUGUAUCUAUUUCUUCAUUUUCCAGGUUGGAAGAGCAAAGAGGCAUAAUAUGGCAAGAAGCUGAGUCCAUGUCUUAUAUAAAAUGGCUCCAGUAUUAAUCCUUAUAUGAUGUAAAAGUACGUGGAAUUCUCAUAAGGACCUCGAGAUGAUCUAGACGGAGGGACAAUUUGAUUGGGAAAUGAUAUGAGAAUGAUGGUAAAGAUGUUAAAAAAAAUUUGGUACUAUUUCGUUUAAGAGAUGAGGGCUAACAAGAAAAUGGUCCAAAAAUGAAGACCAAUUUGGAUAUGAUGACGUAGAGCCACAUAUUCGAGCCACGUCAAGGUUGUUGUCCUCUAAUCAUCUUCGCAAAAGUCUACCGUUUGCAUUUUCCGUUGCAUCUCCCCAUGUCUGACUUUUUGAGUUCAAGUCACCUCCCAGGAUAAAUCCAUCAAAAUUUCCGUAAAUUUGGGUGACUUUGGAAAGAUCUGCCUCAAUUUUAUGACUUUGAUAAUUACAUUGGACGUAAAUCGAUCCAAUCAAAUAUUUCUUGCAGACGUUAUUGUUCAAAAAUUCUAUUUGAGCUAUUCCAGGAUCGUUAAGGAAAAUUCGGUUAAACUGAAUCGGAUUUUUAACAACAAUGGCGACUCCAGUAGAUGAGUUGUCAUAGAUGAAAUUAUAUCCAUCUAAUUUUAUCUUCUUUCUCUUCAGAUUGCACUCCUGUAUGAAUCCCAUAUCUAUUUUGUUACGUUGGAGAAUGUUCGUUAGCUCUAUUUGGAGACUGGCUUCAAGAAGAGACAUUACAUUGUAAGUUACAAAAUUAAGCAACCUAUGGUCCAUAAUUAUUUCUUACUUUAUUUAGUAGGCUCAAAAAUUCUGUUUUGGCCUCGGGUUUGGACAUAGUCGAAUACUCAGAGGGGAAUAUGUUAACCUCUUGUUCCAUUGUCAAUUCCUCUGGUUCUAGAAACAGCGAAGCCAUUUUCAGAAACUGUUCGAUAACAGGAGGCUUGUUUUGCUGGAAAUUAUCUCGCAGUGAAGAACCGGAUUGGAAAAGACUUGAGAAUGUUUGCCCCGCCAUUCUCAUGGACAUGUCCAUAGCUCUAUUUACGUUGCCCUAGCCUGAGCCUUUUCUUUAGUCGCUUUUGCAAUUCUUUGCUGGCGAGCAGCAGCGUACUUUUUGUAAGUCGGACAUCCACGCCAAUUCGCUGGAUGGCCUGUAUCACCGCAAUUAUUACAAAAGGGAUUCACGGAAUCUUCCCUCUUGUAUUGGCACUCGCCUGGGCCAUUAUUUUGAUCGCAUUUCACACAUCUGGCAUCUAUGGCAUUGGAUAUCAGACUCUUUCUUUUUUGGCUUUUCCCAAGUGACAAUUUAAUUCUGCAAUCCUCCAAUGGUAGAUAUGUCAGAGAUCCAGUAUCAUUAUUUUUCAGUGUCUUGUAUUUCACUACAUUGGCAACAGUAUCUGGAAUUUUCUCGUUUAAUUCAGCUUUAAUGUCAUCUAUUUCAGUGUUUGCAGUAAGCCCUCUUAAAACAAAGGAAACUUGUUUCAUUUCUUUCGGUGUGAAAGAAUAGGAGUGUACUCCUUUAUCUCGCAUAACCGCCAUCAUCGAGGAGUGAACAGAUGGGUCAGAGAAAUAAAUCUUGCUCUUAGUUUUAUUAAUAUUUUUUACCUUGAAAGAGGCAGUACCAAUUGUAUCCCUAAAGGAGUCGACAAGGGCUUUUACAUUAACAUUGUAAAUAAAUAUCGGUGGACACCAUCUUGGUUUUGAUUAA